GAAAACAAACCCUCAAUAUGCCCUUUUUUGUUGCCCUGUGCAAGUUCUAUUUCCGAAAGUGUAUGACUUUCUCACCAUAUUUUUUACAGCCAUCUGUGCUUCUUCUGACAAAGAAGCAUCGAACAUUCCCUGUGAGACCGAACCGUGUCCACCCGGCUACAGAUGCCUGCGCAUUCGUUGCGUCACGUAUCCUUGCCCAGAGAGCCACUGUGUAAAAGAGAAUUCUACUGAUAUUUUGUGAAACCAAGGGAGAAAACUGGAUUACGUCAGGAUGCUCAAGAACGUGGCAUGACAUGUUUGAGAAAUGUGCAAGGUGAUUGGGAUUCUUCUCUCCCCCACCCUGGGGCCCUUCGGUGUUGGCACAAAUAAAUCAAAAUGCAAAGAGGUAGCGUUGUUACAACGCGAAAAUGACAAUAAAUAAAUCACCACCCAAGCACUCCGUACAGAUGGCUAACCAGCGAAGUUGAAACUUGAGGCCCCGGUGUUUAUCUCUGGGUUAAUCCCGACGGUGCAUUAAAGUCUUCCUCAAUUAUCGAAUA